AUUUUCAUUCCAUAAAACAGAAUGAAAAUUAUAUGUUGCUCUUGUUCAGCACUUUAAGCUGUUCUUGCGUUUUUCCUCAGAUGAAAAUGUCCUUUAUGCAGACCUCAUCACAAAAAAUAGGAUGUUUUCUGCUGAAAGAUUUUGGGUGCCAAACUACAACCCAACACCUUCCCAAGCCUGGCUGAGGUUAUUACAUCAACUCUGGGAGAGAUGGAGGGAGUGUGUCUUCUCCGAGGAAUGCAUGUCAAACAAAUGGGGAUCCAGAAGCUGGCAAAGAAUGGCACCCAGUGUAACUGUCUCUCUUUGUAACUCUUACCUAGGGGUUCUGCAAUGCACUUGAUGUUCCAGGUCCCAGUACUCACACAGCCCUACUAUAUAACCUUUGCUCAUACUGCUAGGAAAAUGCUGAGAGAAAUUUUGCAGAAAGGUCAGAAAGGUAAAAUUAUAGGCAGAAAUAGGAUUGUUGAGACAAGAUUGUUAACCAUUCAAGCAUUCAAGAGGGAAAAAGAAACAUUUUGGAAAGAUAUAAAACCAUAAGGAAAAAAAUAAAACAGGUAGUUUGGCCA
rnacentral:lncRNA from 1 species